AGUCGACGAAGCUUGAUGAUGGAUUUCUUCGGAAAGAAAUCUGAAAUGACUGAGUGGCGGACGGGUGAGUAACGCGUGAGUAACCUGCCCUUAGGAAAGGGAUAGCGUCUGGAAACGGACGGUAAUACCAUAUAAAGUAUAUUAACGGCAUCGUAGAUAUACCAAAGCUGAGGCGCCUAAGGAUGGACUCGCGUCUGAUUAGAUAGUUGGUGGGGUAACGGCCUACCAAGUCGACGAUCAGUAGCCGGACUGAGAGGUUGAACGGCCACAUUGGGACUGAGACACGGCCCAGACUCCUACGGGAGGCAGCAGUGGGGAAUAUUGCACAAUGGGCGAAAGCCUGAUGCAGCAACGCCGCGUGAAGGAAGACGGUUUUCGGAUUGUAAACUUCUGUUCUUAGUGAAGAAUAAUGACGGUAACUAAGGAGCAAGCCACGGCUAACUACGUGCCAGCAGCCGCGGUAAUACGUAGGUGGCAAGCGUUGUCCGGAAUUACUGGGUGUAAAGGGAGCGUAGGCGGGAAGCCAAGUCAGCUGUGAAAACUACGGGCUUAACCUGUAGACUGCAGUUGAAACUGGCUUUCUUGAGUGAAGUAGAGGUUGGCGGAAUUCCGAGUGUAGCGGUGAAAUGCGUAGAUAUUCGGAGGAACACCGGUGGCGAAGGCGGCCAACUGGGCUUUAACUGACGCUGAGGCUCGAAAGUGUGGGGAGCAAACAGGAUUAGAUACCCUGGUAGUCCACACUGUAAACGAUGAUAACUAGGUGUGGGGGGUCUGACCCCUUCCGUGCCGCAGCUAACGCAAUAAGUUAUCCACCUGGGGAGUACGACCGCAAGGUUGAAACUNCAAGGAAUUGACGGGGNCCCGCACAAGCAGUGGAUUAUGUGGUUUAAUUCGAAGCAACGCGAAAGACCUUACCAGCACUUGACAUCCGACUAACG
rnacentral:rRNA from 1 species